rnacentral:rRNA from 1 species
GAUGAACGCUGGCGGCGUGCCUAAUACAUGCAAGUCGAGCGAACAGACGAGGAGCUUGCUCCUCUGACGUUAGCGGCGGACGGGUGAGUAACACGUGGAUAACCUACCUAUAAGACUGGGAUAACUUCGGGAAACCGGAGCUAAUACCGGAUAAUAUAUUGAACCGCAUGGUUCAAUAGUGAAAGACGGUUUUGCUGUCACUUAUAGAUGGAUCCGCGCCGCAUUAGCUAGUUGGGAAGGUAACGGCUUACCAAGGCAACGAUGCGUAGCCGACCUGAGAGAGUGGUCGGCCACACUGGAACUUAGACACGGUCCAGACUCCUACGGGAGGCAGCAGUAGGGAAUCUUCCGCAAUGGGCGAAAGCCUGACGGAGCAACGCCGCGUGAGUGAUGAAGGUCUUCGGAUCGUAAAACUCUGUUAUUAGGGAAGAACAAAUGUGUAAGUAACUAUGCACGUCUUGACGGUACCUAAUCAGAAAGCCACGGCUAACUACGUG